GACGAACGCUGGCGGCGUGCUUAACACAUGCAAGUCGAACGGAAAGGCCCUGCUUGCAGGGUACUCGAGUGGCGAACGGGUGAGUAACACGUGGGUGAUCUGCCCUGCACUUCGGGAUAAGCCUGGGAAACUGGGUCUAAUACCGGAUAGGAGCCAUUUUUAGUGUGAUGGUUGGAAAGUUUUAUCGGUGUAGGAUGAGCUCGCGGCCUAUCAGCUUGUUGGUGGGGUAAUGGCCUACCAAGGCGGCGACGGGUAGCCGGCCUGAGAGGGUGGACGGCCACAUUGGGACUGGGAUACGGCCCAGACUCCGACGGGAGGCAGCAGUGGGGAAUAUUGCACAAUGGGCGCAAGCCUGAUGCAGCGACGCCGCGUGGGGGAUGACGGCCUUCGGGUUGUAAUCUCCUUUCGCUAGGGACGAAGCUUUUUGUGACGGUACCUAGAUAAGAAGCACCGGCUAACUACGUG
rnacentral:rRNA from 1 species